rnacentral:tRNA from 1 species
GGGCGGUUAGCUCAGCUGGUAGAGCACGGCGUUUACACCGCCGGUGUCGGGGGUUCGAGCCCCUCACCGCCCACCG